rnacentral:rRNA from 1 species
UACAGAGGGUGCGAGCGUUGUUCGGAAUUACUGGGCGUAAAGCGCGCGCAGGCGGCUUCCUAAGUCCGUCGGUGAAAGACCGGGGCUCAACCCCGUGUCAGCCAUGGAUACUGGGAGGCUGGAGACAGGUAGAGGCAAGCGGAAUUCCGGGUGUAGCGGUGGAAUGCGUAGAGAUCGGGAAGAACAUCGGUGGCGAAGGCGCUCUACUGGACCACAACUGACACUCAGGGACGAAAGCUAGGGGAGCGAAUGGG